UAAACGGACCAUCGAGUAUCCAUUGGAGGGCAAGUCUGGUGCCAGCAGCUGCGGUAAUACCAGCUCCAAUAGCGUAUAUUAAAGUUGUUGCAGUUAAAAAGCUCGUAGUUGGACUUGUGUGCGCUGUCCGCGGGUGGCCUGCGCCCAAAAGGGCGUUUCGGUUCGGCCCCGGUGGCGCCUUGAAAUCUGCAGCUGGGGGGACGUUGGCCUUAACUGGUCGGCGACCGCACGCCGGCUGCUCGGUUACUGUGAGAAAAUUAGAGUGUUCAAGGCAGGCAUUGGGUGCAAUUGAAUACAUUAGCAUGGAAUAAUAAAAUAUGGCUCCUGCCGUAUUUUGUUGGUUUUGACUGGUGGGAGUAAUGAUUGAUAGGGACGGUUGGGGGUGCUAGUAUUGAGCGGCCAGAGGUGAAAUUCAUGGAUUCGCUCAAGACUAACUUAUGCGAAAGCAUUCACCAAGGACGUCCUCUUUAAUCAAGAACGAAAGUUGGGGGAUCGAAGACGAUCAGAUACCGUCGUAGUCUCAACCAUAAACUAUGUCGACUUGGGAUCGGCGGUAGUUUUUUCAUUAAGACACUGUCGGGACCACGGGAGAAAUCAAAGUGUCUGGACUCUGGGGGAAGUAUGGUCGCAAGGCUGAAACUUGAAGGAAUUGACGGAAGGGCACCACCAGGAGUGGAGCCUGCGGCUUAAUUUGACACAACACGGGGAAACUUACCAGGUCCAGAGAUGUAGAGGAUUGACAGAUUGAAGCUCUUUCUUGAUCACUUCGGUGGUGGUGCAUGGCCGUUCUUAGUUGGUGGAGUGAUUUGUCUGGUUAAUUCCGUUAACGAACGAGACCUCAGCCUGCUAGUGUAGUCGGCUGGAUUGCCUUUGGCGAUCCGUGAUUUCGACUUCUUAGAGGGACAAUCGACGCGCAGUCGAUGGAAGUUUGAGGCAAUAACAGGUCUGUGAUGCCCUUAGAUGUUCUGGGCCGCACGCGCGCUACACUGCUGGGCUCAGCGAGUUUUACUUGGCCGAGAGGCCCGGUUAAUCUUGUGAAAUCCCAGCGUGCUUGGGCUCGCCUCCUGCAACUGGAGGCGCCAACGAGGAAUUCCUAGUAGACGCAGGUCAUCAACCUGCAUCGAUUACGUCCCUGCCCUUUGUACACACCGCCCGUCGUUCCAUAAGAGUGAGGCAUCCGGUGAAUUCUCGGGAGAGCCUGGGCGUGGCCAGCAAUGGUCUGCUCGGGUUUGAACUUGCAUAAACUUGGUGCCUAUGAUUAGGGAAAAGUCGUAACAAGGUUUCCGUAGGAACCUGCGGAAG
rnacentral:rRNA from 1 species